rnacentral:misc_RNA from 1 species
AUCCACACCCUCUCGCUCCUUCCUCUCUGGUCGUCGCCUUCCCUCCCUCGCCACCGUCUCCGCCUUGCGAUCGUCGGUGCGAUCGAUGGCCGACUCCGCCGCCGCCUUCCAGAAGGUUCAGAUCUCCAGGGAUGACACUACAUUUGAUGCAUAUGUAGUCGGCAAGGAAAAUGCUCCAGGGAUAGUGGUGUUGCAGGAAUGGUGGGGUGUUGACUUUGAGGUUAAGAACCAUGCUUUAGACAUUGCCAAAAUGAGUCCGGGUUACAGGGCUCUAAUUCCAGAUUUAUAUCGUGGAAAAGUUGGGUUGGAUGUUGCUGAGGCACAACAUUUGAUGGAUGGCUUGGACUGGCAGGGUGCUGUUAAGGAUAUACAU